rnacentral:rRNA from 1 species
GUGAAAGCGAGCCUGAAUAGGGCGUUUGUCACUAGUUAUAGACCCGAACCCGGGUGAUCUAACCAUGGUCAGGUUGAAGCUUAGGUAAUACUAAGUGGAGGACCGAACCGACUGAUGUUGAAAAAUCAGCGGAUGAGUUGUGGUUAGGGGUGAAAUGCCAAUCGAACUCGGAGCUAGCUGGUUCUCCCCGAAAUGCGUUUUGGCGCAGCGGUAGAUGUUAUAGCUUAGGGGUAAAGCACUGUUACGUAUGCGGGCUGGUAAUUCGGUACCAAAUCGUUGCAAACUAAGAAUACUAAAUGUACAAUUUAUCAGUGAGACUGUGGGGGAUAAGCUUCAUUGUCAAGAGGGAAACAGCCCAGAGCACCAGUUAAGGCCCUUAAAUAAUUACUAAGUGAUAAAGGAGGUGGGAGUGCAUAAACAAUCAGGAGGUUUGCUUAGAAGCAGCAAUCCUUUAAAGAGUGCGUAAUAGCUCACUGAUCGAGUAAACCUGCGCCGAAAAUGAACGGGACUAAGUAAUUUGCCGAAACUGUGCGAUAUAUUUAAAUAUAUCGGUAGGGGAGCGUUCUGUUGUAGGUUGAAGUAUUAGCGUAAGCAGAUAUUGACGAAGCAGAAGUGAGAAUGUCGGCUUGAGUAACGAAAAUAUAGGUGAGAAUCCUAUACCCCGAAAACCCAAGGUUUCCUCCGGAAGGCUCGUCCGCGGAGGGUAAGUCAGGACCUAAGGCGAGGCUGAAAAGCGUAGUCGAUGGACAACGGGUUAAUAUUCCCGUACCAUUUUUUAUUGACAACGAGGGACGGAGAAGGUUAAAUUAGCCGGUUAUUGGUUUCCGGUUUAAGCGUUCGAGAUGUUGAGAAAUGGUGAAAACGUUUUGAGUUAAGACGUGAAUACGAGACGCUAAGGCGUUGAAGUAAUGUAUAUCAUACUUCCAAGAAAAGCUUGCACUGUCAUAAAUAAGAAAUGCCUGUACCAUAACCGACACAGGUGGGUAGGUAGAGUAUACUAAGGGGCGCGAGAUAACUCUCUCUAAGGAACUCGGCAAAAUAACUCCGUAACUUCGGGAGAAGGAGUGCCUUAGCAAUAAGGCUGCAAUCACAAGAUCCAAGCAACUGUUUACCAAAAACACAGGUCUCCGCUAAGUCGUAAGACGAUGUAUGGGGGCUGACGCCUGCCCAGUGCCGGAAGGUUAAGGAAGUCUGUUAAAUGCUGAUGACUGAAGCCCCGGUGAACGGCGGCCGUAACUAUAACGGUCCUAAGGUAGCGAAAUUCCUUGUCGGGUAAGUUCCGACCCGCACGAAAGGCGUAACGAUUUGGGCACUGUCUCGGAGAGAGGCUCGGUGAAAUAGAAUUGUCUGUGAAGAUGCGGACUACCUGCACCUGGACAGAAAGACCCUAUGAAGCUUUACUGUAGCCUGAAAUUGGCUUCGGGCUCUUCUUGUGCAGCUUAGGUGGAAGGCAGUGACCUCUUUUUUCCGGAAAGGAGUGAGCCAUCAGUGAGAUACCACUCUGGAAGAGCUAGAAGUCUAAUGGCGAUCCUUGAAUCAGGACGCUUGACAGUUUCAGGCGGGCAGUUUUACUGGGGCGGUAGCCUCCCAAAAUGUAACGGAGGCGUGCAAAGGUUCCCUCAGGCUGGACGGAAAUCAGCUGUAGAGUGUAAAGGCGAAGGGAGCUUGACUGCAAGACCUACAAGUCGAGCAGGGACGAAAGUCGGUCUUAGUGAUCCGACGGUGCCGCGUGGAAGGGCCGUCGCUCAACGGAUAAAAGUUACUCUAGGGAUAACAGGCUGAUCUCCCCCAAGAGUUCACAUCGACGGGGAGGUUUGGCACCUCGAUGUCGGCUCAUCGCAUCCUGGGGCGGUAGUACGUCCCAAGGGUUGGGCUGUUCGCCCAUUAAAGCGGUACGUGAGCUGGGUUCAGAACGUCGUGAGACAGUUCGGUCCAUAUCCGGUGUAGGCGUUAGAGUAUUGAAAGGAUCUUUCCCUAGUACGAGAGGACCGGGAAGGACGCACCUCUGGUGUACCAGUUCUCGUGCCAACGGGACACGCUGGGUAGCCAAGUGCGGAGCGGAUAACUGCUGAAAGCAUCUAAGUAGGAAGCCCACCUUAAGAUGAGUACUCUGUAUUCCC